AGCGAACGCUGGCGGCAGGCCUAACACAUGCAAGUCGAGCGCCCAGCAAUGGGAGCGGCAGACGGGUGAGUAACGCGUGGGGAUCUGCCCAAUGGUACGGAAUAACCCAGGGAAACUUGGACUAAUACCGUAUGUGCCCUUCGGGGGAAAGAUUUAUCGCCAUUGGAUGAACCCGCGUCGGAUUAGCUAGUUGGUGAGGUAAAGGCUCACCAAGGCGACGAUCCGUAGCUGGUCUGAGAGGAUGAUCAGCCACACUGGGACUGAGACACGGCCCAGACUCCUACGGGAGGCAGCAGCGGGGAAUAUUGGACAAUGGGCGCAAGCCUGAUCCAGCCAUGCCGCGUGAGUGAUGAAGGCCUUAGGGUUGUAAAGCUCUUUCGCCGGUGAAGAUAAUGACGGUAACCGGAGAAGAAGCCCCGGCUAACUUCGUGCCAGCCGCCGCAGUAAAAC
rnacentral:rRNA from 1 species